UACGGGGGGAGCAAGCGUUGUUCGGAUUUACUGGGCGUAAAGGGCGCGUAGGCGGUCGUGACAAGUCACUUGUGAAAUCUCCGGGCUUAACUCGGAACGGUCAAGAGAUACUGUCGGACUAGAGUACAGAAGGGGCAACUGGAAUUCUCGGUGUAGCGGUGAAAUGCGUAGAUAUCGAGAGGAACACCUGCGGCGAAGGCGGGUUGCUGGGCUGAUACUGACGCUGAGGCGCGAAAGCCAGGGGAGCGAACGGG
rnacentral:rRNA from 1 species